rnacentral:rRNA from 1 species
ACGGGGGGACUCCUACGGGAGGCAGCAGCAGGGAAUCUUCUACAAUGGGCGAAAGCCUGAUGGAGCGCCGCCGCGUGAAGGAUGAAGGCCUUCGGGUUGUAAACUUCUUUUGCCGAGGAAGAGAAUGGACGGUACUCGGCGAAUAAGUCACGGCUAACUACGUGCCAGCAGCCGCGGUAAU